CAGCAGCCGCGGUAAUACAGAGGAUGCAAGCGUUAUCCGGAAUGAUUGGGCGUAAAGCGUCUGUAGGUGGCUUUUCAAGUCCGCCGUCAAAUCCCAGGGCUCAACCGGGGAGGGUCAUUGGAAACUGGGAAACUUGAGUGCAGAAGAGGAGAGUGGAAUUCCACGUGUAGCGGUGAAAUGCGUAGAGAUGUGGAGGAACACCAGUGGCGAAGGCGACUCUCUGGUCUGUAACCGACGCUGAGGAGCGAAAGCGUGGGGAGCGAACAGGAUUAGAUACCCCUGUAGUCCCUGUCUCUUAUAC
rnacentral:rRNA from 1 species